rnacentral:rRNA from 1 species
AGAGUUUGAUCCUGGCUCAGGACGAACGCUGGCGGCGUGCUUAACACAUGCAAGUCGAACGAUUAACCCGCCCUCGGGCGGUUAUAGGGUGGCGAACGGGUGAGUAACACGUGACCAACCUGCCCCUUGCUCCGGGACAACCCAGGGAAACCUCGGCUAAUACCGGAUACUCCGCGCAGCCCGCAUGGGAGGCGCGGGAAAGCCCAGACGGCAAGGGAUGGGGUCGCGGCCCAUUAGGUAGACGGCGGGGUAACGGCCCACCGUGCCCGCGAUGGGUAGCCGGGUUGAGAGACCGAUCGGCCACAUUGGGACUGAGAUACGGCCCAGACUCCUACGGGAGGCAGCAGUGGGGAAUUUUGCGCAAUGGGGGAAACCCUGACGCAGCAACGCCGCGUGCGGGACGAAGGCCUUCGGGUUGUAAACCGCUUUCAGCAGGGAAUAUAGUGAAGGUACCUGCAGAAGAAGCUCCGGCUAACUACGUGCCAGCAGCCGCGGUAAUACGUAGGGAGCGAGCGUUAUCCGGAUUCAUUGGGCGUAAAGCGCGCGUAGGCGGCCCGUCAAGCGGGGUUUCAAAUCCAGGGGCUCAACCUCUGGCCGGACCCCGAACUGGCGGGCUCGAGUGCGGUAGAGGAAGGUGGAAUUCCCAGUGUAGCGGUGAAAUGCGCAGAUAUUGGGAAGAACACCGAUGGCGAAGGCAGCCUUCUGGGCCGCCACUGACGCUGAGGCGCGAAAGCUAGGGGAGCGAACAGGAUUAGAUACCCUGGUAGUCCUAGCCGUAAACGAUGGGCACUAGGUGUGGGGGGAGCAUUUCCUCCGUGC